rnacentral:tRNA from 1 species
CGGUGAAUAGCGCAGUUUGGUAAGCCGCAUCUGGUUUGGGGACCAGAGGGUCGGGGGUUCGAAUCCCUCUUCACCGACCA